rnacentral:pre_miRNA from 1 species
GCACGUCGUUGUCCUGCUUGUCCUGCGAGGUGUCUUGCAGGCCGUCAUGCAGGCCACACUGACGGUAACGUUGCAGGUCGUCUUGCAGGGCUUCUCGCAAGACGACAUCCUCAUCACCAACGACG